UUGGCUCAUAAAAAAUGUUACUUUUUAUUAUAUCAAAUGUUACUUAAUAAAAAUAUGAUUUUUGCUCAUAUCAAAUAUUACGUCUUCUAAUAACAAAUAAUAUUGUUACUUAUAUCACAUAGUAUUACUUAAUAGAAAUAUAAUUUUUUCUAAUAACAAUACUACUUUUAUUACUUCUUCUAAUAUAAAAUACUCCCUCCGUCCCGCCCAAGAUGCUACAUAUUCCUUUCGAGCCGUCCCAACGAAGAUGCUACAUUUCUAUAUUUGGCAAAAACUAAUAUUUGUUAUUAGAAGAAGUAAUAUUUUUAUUAAGUAAUAUUUAAUAUGGGCAAUCCAGAAAAAAAAAUACAAAAAAAGUGUGGAAAUUUAAAUAAAAUACAGUAAAAUAAUAAUAAAAAACAAACAUUGAAAAAAAAUUCAGAAAAAUUGAAAAAAACAAAACAGGCGAAAAUAAAUGUAAUAAUAGAAAAAAGGCGCAAAAAAUAAAAUACAUUUUUGUAUAUAGUGAGAGUCGAACCCUCACUUAUGGUUGUAUAAAAAAGAGGCAACUGGUGUUGACAUUGCACUAUAGCACAUACUUACUAAUUAUCAAUAAAUGUGUAUUAUUUAUAGGUGUUUUACGCGAUUCUGUAAAAUUUUUAACUCGAAUAUGGACCGGGUAAAUGGGUAUUAAACAUGGACAGGGUAAAUGGGUAGGAGGGACCUGGUCUCAUAUAUGAGACCGGUCUCGUAGAAGUUCACCUCGAGUGAGAGAGAGAACCGAUGAGGGGAGAGAGAGAGAGAGUGGGGAGAGAUGCUUAUUCUUUUCAUUCCAAAUUUUAUUUAUUUAUUUAGGUUUCAUAUGUUGACUUUCAAAUUUUCAAUUGGGCCGAUUUUAAAUUAUAUAAUGGGCCGAUGUUAAUGAAUAGAUGGGCUCAGUAUAUUUAUGUUUUGGGCCUUAUUAAUUCAUAACAGGUUCUCUCUUAAAUUAUUUCCUUGGGCUCUAAUUAUUUCUCUAAUUGGACCCGCAAGUGUUUUCACUAGUUUUAUAAAUUUUCCUAUAAGAUUAAAUUCUUAAUAAAAUUAUUGAAUAUUUUAUAAGUUUUUAAAUUUACUAAGUUAUUAGUUAUGUAUUAAAAGUUUGUGAAUUCAUUCAAAGAGAUUAUUAAUCGAGGCAGAGUGUAUCAAUAGUUAGCAAUUCCCUUUACUUAGAAAUUAGAAUGACACUUCAAGCGAGGCGAGUGUUGAAUCUCCACUUUCGAGGUGGGCUUUAUUUUACAUACAAUAUAUCUUCAUGAAAAUAUUGUUUAUCCAAUAUAAAUAUUUUUAUGUGCGUUCUGUAUUGUUUAAUACUCGCAUAAGCAUCGAUCGAGAUUCUCAUUUGGCCUAACACGUUAAAUGAAGAUUGCGUACACAAGAUUAGUGGCUCGAUGGGUUGAUCGUCAUCCUGCACUAACAAAGCUAAGAGGCAUUAUAAGGGUGCUUGUUUGGAUGUGUUUCGAAGCACAGUUAUGAUUAUUGAUCUGAUCGGGUGCGUCCUGAGAUUGAUAAAUGGGAGAAAAAAAAGCAAUCCGACGGUGGCUAGAGGUUCGGGAUCAUAAGCAGCGAGUAACAAUCGAACGUUACAUGGCGCGCCAUUUAAUGAGAAAAAGUUUUAUCAUGCUUAGAAGUGGAUUUCUGUUUUAAAACCUUCUGAGUGAUGAUUGUGAUAUUGGAUAAACUGCUUUGAUUAUUUCAUAAAAUAUUUUAGAAACUCAUGCUCACUGAGUACAUUAGCCCAAAUUAUUUUCAAAUGUUUUCAGGUUGAUCGGUGGUUGCAAACGAGUCUGGGCUGAG